rnacentral:lncRNA from 1 species
CAACUGUGGGCUCCCCUAUUUUAUUUUCUUAAGACAGUCUUUGGGCUUUCUCAUAUUUUUAUUAUUAUAGUAUGGACCUCCCCCUCUUGUAUUUUUUUUUCAUUCAUAUAAUUUUUUGUUUCUUUUUGUAAAGUUGGCAGGGACAGAUAAUUAGAAGACACCUACCAACUUGACAAUCAAUGCUUUGGCGAUCAUGACUGUCCCCAAAACAAAGAAAUUUGGGGGAUUAUUAAUUAGCACCGCUGAAUGACAUACGGAGUAGUUUGUAGACUUUCCAUGGCAGCUUUUGAUUUUGUGCCUAGUUCUAAACUUUUCCAAAGUAAAAGGCCUUGGAACACAUGAAUUAGCUGGUAAACGAAGCAAUAGCUAGCUGUAGAUACUUGAGUGAGUACUCUAGUUGAGUACAGUGCAUCAUAAACUCAAAACGAAUUAUUACAGAGAACUGCAAUUUAGAUCGCACAACUUGUGUAAGCUUGUCCCGGUAAUUAGUUAGAUUGUGAUUUGUAACCAUUGACAAAAUAUUCAACAAAAAAAGAAGUCACAUAUAAAAAUCCUCUGCCCAGUUUAUUAUGGAACUAGCUAGCUAGAUUGCGCAAAGUGGGGCAUGGAUGAUGCUCUUGAACGUACGUACAAACUACCUACGGUGCUCUUUAAUCAAAAUCUAGAAUUUUCAGAUAGUGAAGGGCACGCCGUGCU